AUGAAGCCUUCACACGGCCAACGGGAGCACAGCCGCUCUCCCAGAGGGGCUUCAGUGAAAGCUGAAGCCCUGAGGGCUCCUUCACGCUCCGUGUCUCUGAAGUCUGUUACAUCCACCAUUUCUCACCAGAGACCUCCGGUGCGCUCCACACCAUCAAGUAGGUCUGUACUGUCAGUGUACAGAGAACAUGGUGCGCCCACAAGGAAAUCCACCACACAACUAAAGGCACCACCGUCGUCUACACAGCAGCAGGGAUGUUGAAGAUCAUGAGGAUGGUGAGCAGAAGCUGCCUAGUGGAGGAUGGGUGGCCUAGGGAGUCAUGCGCAGGCGUGCCACCCGGGAAAGUUCCCACUGUACCUUUGCCACUAUUUUAUUUUUCCCAUUCCCCCUUUGUUUGCCCCCACUGUGCACCUCUAAAAUAAACUAAAAUUGCAGGGUUUUUUUUUUCGCCUCAUCUUUUUCUCAGGUUUCUCUUCACAAAUGAAAAUAGGGAAGUAAUGAGGGUAAUUAGCAGAAAUUUGUAAAACAGCAAAUGCAAAUGAUAAAUGUGAUCAACCCAAGAACUGUCACCUGAAAGGUCUGUUCAAAUGAUAUACCACUGGCCAAUUGAGUCCAGAGGAAAAUGGGGCAGAAACUGCAUAUAUUUAAAGUUAGAAAGGAGAAUGGGAAAAUACUGUGGACACUAGUGCAAGGGAAAGGACCUAGAGAGAGACCUGGCAAACAAGUGGGUAGGGAUGAAAACACAAACAACCAGAGCUGGUCCCACAAUAGACUGAGCCAAACAGAACAAUAUAUAAACACAGAGGAAAGGGGGUGGGGCUGGCAAGAUGGCUGAGUAAGAGUGCCUGCCACCAAACCUGACACCCUGAGUUCAAUCCACGGAACCCACAUGGAAUCAACUCGUGUAAAUUGUCUUCUGACCUCCAUUUGCCCACAUGGCACAUGGGUACUUUCUCCCCCGACACACGCACACACACAUACACACACACACACAUACACACACACACAAAUAAUAAGUAAAUAAUAAAUAAUAAAUGUAUGUUUAAAUUUUUUUAAGAUCAUUUUCCAAGAAAUAUUUCUCAAAAUGAAAUCAGGGCAGACAUGUUCACAGGCUAGCACUUUCAGACCUUCACACGAUGCCAUUCUGAUGCUAAUCAGACUUUCAAAGAACAAAGAUGCAUUUCUGAAUGAUUAUUUUACAGCAUCAGUCUAACACUGACAUCAUAUCUGAUCAGGUUUAGAGAAAGAAAACAAAAUAGAAGUUUCAAAUAUACAAAAGAUUAAUAUAUGGGCUGGGGAUGUCCUUGCUUACCAAAUGUGAAACUCUGGGAUGGAUCCCCAGAACGGGAAAAAAAUUAAUAUAUUAACAAAAAAAUAGUCAUCAGUAUUAUUAAAAAUAUAUACCACAAAGAGUAAAUAUAGGGACAUUUUACUAUUGGGAUUCUUAAAAUAAUCCACCAUGUUGUAAGUAAAAGGGUUGGGGGCUAGAGAGAUGUCUCAGCAGUUAAAGAGCAUUGGUUGCUCUUGCAGAGGUCCUGGGUUUGGUUCCCAGCACCUACACAGCAGCUAACAACCACCUAUAACUCCAGUUCCAGGUGAUCAGACACCCUCUUCUGGCCUCUGGGCACUGCAUUCACAUGGUGUACUUACAUGCAAGCAAAAUACUAAUACACAUAAAAAGAAAAUUUUAAGUUAAAGGAGAAGAGUUAUGAGAUUAAGUCAAAUAAUGUUGCAAAUGUGAAAAAAUGCAACAUUCAUUUUUUGAUUGCCAGAAAGGAGAAGGAGGAAGAAAUCAACAAAGUAAGAAUGUAUAGCCAUUUCAUUGACAUUAUAAAAAUAAACAUUUUUACCCCCAAAUCAGCAAGAUCUUUAUUUAAAUAUCAGAUGAAUUCUUAUUAAAAUGAAGAAAAGGGGCUGGAGCAAUGGCUCAGCAGUUAAGAACACUGACUGUUCUUGCAGAAGACCCUGGUUGGUAUCCCAGCAGCCACAUGGCAGCUUACAACUGUCCAUGACUCCAGUUCCAGGCGAUUGACAGCCUCUUCUGUCCUCCUGGGGCAUUGCACGACACAGGUGCACUUACCUACAUGCAGGCAUAACACUCAUACACAUAAAAUAAAAAUAAUAAAAAUAAAAUAAAUAAAAUGAAAAAAAAGGUUCCCACUAGCAAUAAUAUUGUGCUUUUCUGGAAUACUAAUUAUAACUAAAAAAAAAAUAGCACUUGCAAAGAGACAAAAUAUAUCAUUUCUUUAAGCUAAUAUGAUUGUAAAUUGUAAAUCCACUGGGAGACCAUUUAAAACAAGAUACUUUAGCUGAGUGACAAUCAAACUGAUAAACUAAAAAGUUUCCUAUAAAUAACUACCUAAAAUAUAAGAAAAUAAUUCUCAUUACUACAACAAUCAAAGCGCAGUACUUGCCAAAGAAAUGAAAACCUAUAAGAAAACUUUAAAACUCUAUUGAUAAGGGGAAAAAAAGAACAUUAAAAUAACCAAAAAAAGCACACUUUGUUCUUGAAGGAGAAGACAGAAUUUUGUAAUCUUUCCAAAUUAAAAGUUAGAUGAAAUCCCAAUUAAAAUACCAACAAACUUAGUUUGAGGAACAGGACCAAGAUAAACGUGGGUGGCAUGAACAGUCUAAGAAUGAGAAAUGAGAGGACUCUGCCAAACAGCAGUGGUCACAGGUAGACACAGCCUAGCAUUUGCACGUACUCUGGGGGCUGGAGAGACGGCUCUUGCAGAGGAACCAAGCUCAGUUCCCAGCAUCCAUGUCGGGUGGCUCACAACUGCUUGUAAGGCCAGCUCCAAAGAAUCCCACAUCCUCCUCUGACUUCAUGGGCUCCCUGUAGCCCCAGCUGCCCUGGAACUCACUAUGUAGACCAGGCUGGCCUUGAACUCACAGCGAUACACCUGCCUCUGCCUCUCAAGUGCUGGGACUGAAGGCAUGUGCCACCACACCUGGCUUUUUUUAUUUUAUUACUUGCAUAUAGAUUUUUUAAAAAUUUUUUCUGCUUCCCAAGUGCUGAGAUUAAAGGCAUGUACCACCACACCUGGUUUUAUUUAUAUUUUACAUAUUUUAUUAUAUAUUUGGCAUAUAUUACAUGCAAUUUUUUUUUCUUUUUUGAGACAGGGUAUCCCUGGAGCCCCAGCUGACCUAGAACUCACUAUGGAGACCAGGCUGGCCUCUACCUAAGAAUAUUUUUUAACAGGGCUGAAAAUGUAGUUUAGUAGAUUGCUUGCUUAGUAUACCUAACGCCCUGGGUUUGAUCCCCAACAAUGUAAAAUUAGUUGAUUAAUGAAUUAAUUAGUUGAUGAAAAUUGAAAAAUGCAGACUAAGAAUGUAAUGACCUAGCAUGUACAAGCCUUGGGCUCAAUCCUCAGUACCACAAAGAAAAAAUAAGUUUAAAAAGUAAAUGUUAAAAAUAAAAUACAUGUGAAAAUCAGCACAGGCAUGGAAUGCAGAGAUGGCUCAGAUAGUACAAGGACUAGCUUUGCUAACCUGACCACCUGCGGUUGAUCCAUGGGACCCAUGUAAAAGCCAGAUGAGCUGGGCAUGGUGAUGCAUGCCUUUAGUCCCAGCACUAGAGAGGCAGAGGCAGGCAGAUCCCUGUGAGUUCAAAGCCAGCCUGGUCUACACAGUGAGUUCCAGACCAGCUGGGGCUACAGGGAGACCCUGUCUCAAAAAGACAAAA
ensembl:lincRNA